UACGUAGGGUGCAAGCGUUGUCCGGAAUUAUUGGGCGUAAAGAGCUCGUAGGCGGUCUGUCACGUCGGCUGUGAAAACCUGGGGCUCAACCCCGGGCCUGCAGCCGAUACGGGCAGACUAGAAUUCGGUAGGGGGGACUGGAAUUCCUGGUGUAGCGGUGAAAUGCGCAGAUAUCAGGAGGAACACCGGUGGCGAAGGCGGGUCUCUGGGCCGAUAUUGACGCUGAGGAGCGAAAGCGUGGGGAGCGAACAGG
rnacentral:rRNA from 1 species